GAUGAACGCUGGCGGCGUGCCUAAUACAUGCAAGUCGAGCGAACAGACGAGGAGAUUGCUCCUCUGACGUUAGCGGCGGACGGGUGAGUAACACGUGGAUAACCUACCUAUAAGACUGGGAUAACUUCGGGAAACCGGAGCUAAUACCGGAUAACAUGUUGAACCGCAUGGUUUAACAGUGAAAGACGGUCUUGCUGUCACUUAUAGAUGGAUCCGCGCCGCAUUAGCUAGUUGGUAAGGUAACGGCUUACCAAGGCAACGAUGCGUAGCCGACCUGAGAGGGUGAUCGGCCACACUGGAACUGAGACACGGUCCAGACUCCUACGGGAGGCAGCAGUAGGGAAUCUUCCGCAAUGGGCGAAAGCCUGACGGAGCAACGCCGCGUGAGUGAAGAAGGUCUUCGGAUCGUAAAACUCUGUUAUUAGGGAAGAACAAAUGUGUAAGUAACUAUGCACGUCUUGACGGUACCUAAUCAGAAAGCCACGGCUAACUACGUG
rnacentral:rRNA from 1 species